rnacentral:lncRNA from 1 species
GGAUGAGCUUCACCUUUACAAGUUGACAAUUCAGUAUUUUCAAAUUAUUCUUCCAAUAUUCGGUAAUUAUUUCAUAUAUUCACAUUAGGCGAUAUAUUGCAGAAGAUUGGAAGUUUAAGCAUGAAAUAUCAUGAAGAAUAUCACACGUGGGGGUAUUUUGAGCGAUAUAUUAUAUGUCUAAAGACAAGAAAUAUUUCAUAAUCAAAGGAGAUUUCAUGCGUGAGCUGAGAAAGGAAGUGAAAUAAUUUACGAAAAUCAAAGUUAUUCACCUAUGUAAGAGCCACGUACGGAGAAGAUAAAAGGGGGCCACACGAUAGAAAUACACGGCCACAUUGGGUUCUUUCUCUUGGCUUCUCGGUCAAAACAAUUCAGGACAAAGGGGAAAAUUGUUUCUUCGUUUUUGAGGGUUUUUAGGGUUUUUGAGGCUUUUCCUUCGGUGAAAAAGUCAAAAGUGAAAAAAAGAAAAGCACAAAGCAGAAAGAAGGUACAAGCGGCAGAGAGUUGAGGGGACAGGUACUGUUCAUCGUCUCCUUCACCGCUCGCCGCCCGCCGCCCGCAUCUGCAGCCAUUCGCUGGUUCCUCCUCCACCGCGCGGCACCGUCGUCCGCCUCACCGCGCUAUUCAGUCGCACCACCUAACGCCGUCGCCCCGAAGACCAGCGAUCGACGUCCUUGCUUAACCCGACGCCAGCGGCUACCGUCGCCUGUCCGUCGCUUCCGCCUCUGACCGCCUGCUCUGGCCCGCGACCCACCGCCUCUGCCUCGUCUCUGCCCGCGCCUGCAACAGGAACCCCUCGGACGCCGCGCCAAUCGCUGCCGUUGCGACCCUCCUCUGCAGAUUUGUCUCCGCCGUCAGAUCCCAAGCCACCGGUGACCCGGAGUCGCAGCCGAGCUGAGAUCUAGCCGCCGGAGUCCCUCCGCUUGCGAAUCCGAGGUCCCCGACGACAGAAGGCCCGGACCCAGCUCAACGCUUCCCUUUCGCCGGUGCCGAGCCUCAUCGAAGACCCAGAUCUGACGUCGCCCUCACUCCGCACCGCGAUGCUCGCCCCCCGAUCCGGUUCUCUCACUGGACGCCGCGCCCAACAGCCCGAUCCAGACGCCGGAGCUCCUCAUCGCAGCCACCAGAGGCCUCCCGCCGUCCCUGCAGUGCCCCGCCGGCUGAAGCCCGGUGAUCCGAGCGCCCCGACGCAGGCCCAUGCUGAUCCACGACAACCCCCUCGCCGGAGCCCUUGCCGGACCAGCCACCAGCUUUAUUUUUCUUUUUAAAGGAAAAAAAAAAAGAGAAAAGCAAAAGAAAAUUUAGGUAUUUUCUUUAUCUUAUUUUUGUUUUAUUAUUUUUGUUGUUUUAUUUUAUCUUUUUAGUGUAAUUAUUCCUUUAAUGUGAAAUUGAAAUUCCCUGAUAUGAAAUUGCCUUGAAAUUAGUGAUUGUCAGUCCGAUUUUCGUACCCGAAAUCCGAUUCGCAAUUACUUAAAAAAUUGCCAAUUCGAUCUCCCGCCCGAGAUCCAAUUCGUGAUUUAUGUGAAAUUGGUCAACCCGAUCUCAUGCGCGAGAUAUGGUUCGUUAAUUUGGAUACCAAUAUUGCUUGAUUUGUUGUGAUGUUACUUAAAUUAGUUUUCUUAAAAAAAAUUUUAAAAAAAAUGUAGCUUUAGGGUUUGCAUGCUCAUAAUAAGAAUUUUAUUUUUUUUAAAAAAAUCAAAUCAAUUAAUUUAGGUUGCUAGGUUUUUUUAACUUGGAUUGCAUGUUUAAUUAUUUGGCAAAUUUUAAUUUCGAAAUUAAAAGAAAAAAAAGAAAAAGGAAAAACACAAAAAAAGUCAUUAUGCAUAUGUCAUGUAGAAUUAUGGUAUCUUUUGCACGUCAUUGCAUAUUAGAGUUAAAUUGCACUUAAUUUAAUUUUAGAUAAUAUUUUUUAAAUUUAUUAUAAGUUUAGGUACUUUUUUUAGAUAUAAUUAUUUUGGUUAAGAUAAUAUUUUAGUUUAAAUUAGGAUGUGGCUCAACCUAAUUCCUAAUAUAAAUUAAAUAGGAUCUUAAUCUAAUUAGGUAAUUUUCACAUUUCACCUAAUUUCGAAUUUCUUGAAAAAUACAAAAAAAUGUCAUAGGUUAAAUUAGUUUUAUUAUUUAGGAUAAAAUGCAUUCUUUUAGGAAAAAAUUGCCAUAUGCACGUCAUUAGGGUUAGAUUCAUUGAGAUGCAUGUCAUUUAGUAUUUUUGCUAGGCCCAUUUAAUUAAAAAUUACAUGUCAUUAGAAUUAGGUCAUUCAAUUAACAUUGCAUUAUAUAUUGCAUGAUUUUCAUUAAUUAAGCGAAAACAAAAUAAAAAUUGCGUGUUAAUUAGAAAUCAUAUCUAGGGUUGUUGAUGUAGAUUUUAAUUUAACAUUGCAGAUGCUUUCGUUGCUUUGAGGUAAGUUUUUGUAAUUUAUUUAUUGUUUAUCUGGGUUUUAAAUUGGUGGUUUGUGUACCCGCAUGAUCACCUUACAUGUUAGGAAAAUAGACUUAAAAUCAAUCCAAACUACUUGCAAAAACAUUUUUGAAAUUAAAAGAAUGGUACCGAAAGGGCAUUAGAGAAAUCUAGUGUAACCAAGUCCCCAUAUCCAUAAUCUCUGGUUCGUAGGAGUAAAGUCAAUCUCCCAUUACUUUACUUGGGUUUCUAAUCGACCCACAAAAAAUAGAUUAGUGGCGACUCCUAAUUGAAAAUCAAUUGCAUGUUAAGAACUUGAACCUAAGUCGCGAAUUGGUAUGGGCUUGGGAGAGCCCGAGUUAAGUCUAGGAUUAACAAUCCAUUAGCCAAACCCUAGGUGAUUCACACCCCAAAAAAUUAGUCGCGACAGCACUCAAUUGUCUUAAUUAAAAUAGUGAACCUGUCCUAUUUUCUUCGUAUUAGAAAUACAUAAUAAAAUAGUCGUGUGUGGUUACACGGUCAAUUCACUCUAGAAAAAUUGAUAUCAUCCAAUUUAAAAUCCCACUAGUUUGUAUAGUACAUAAAACCAUUUUUGGUGUUAAAACCCGACACUUGGAAUUUUCUGAAUAAAUAAUGAAUUUCACAAUUUUUGGAAUUAAAUAUUCGAAAUUCCAAUCAGCACUCAAUUUGCAAAAAUUAACCACAUCAUUACAAUCAGCACGAAAUUCCGGUCACUAGCUAUCCCAGCCUAAAUUCCGGAAAAAUAAUUAAUAAAUAAUUAAUUCAAUUUAAUUUCUAAAAAUACUAACCUAGGCCAACGUUAUCAAAUUAAAUAUCAAUACGGACCCGGAAAAAUUCCCGAACCCUUCUAAAUAAACAGUACAAUUUAUUUAGGCCUUAGCUAAACCAUGCUAACCACCUAACAUGCUCAAUUAAAUAAUUAAAUUUCUAAUUUAAUCUAACUAAUCACCUAAUUCCUAAUAAAAUAAAUAUAAACACCACUUAAAUGUCAUUAGUCUACUAAGCAGAGUUUAGAGUAUAAACUCACCGGUUAAUUGCAGAAACCGGUUCACCGCGAUGAUGGCGCGACGGUAGCCAAAAUCCGAAUUUUCAGUGGCGUCGGCGGACUUGAACUGGGCCUAAAAUGGGCCCAACAAAUCUCAGCCCAAAUCUGAUAUUUGCUUUUGAAUUGGACCGGGCCCGAAGCGGGCUAACUUCACGGGCUUGGGCUGCUGAAUUGGGCUUGGCUUCAUGGUCUUCGAAUGGGCUGAGCUUGAUGGACUUUGCUGGGUUGAAUUCUUGGGCUGAAACUUACG